AAGCACCGGCUAACUACGUGCCAGCAGCCGCGGUAAUACGUAGGGUGCGAGCGUUGUCCGGAAUUAUUGGGCGUAAAGAGCUCGUAGGCGGCUCGUCGCGUCUGCUGUGAAAGCCCGGGGCUUAACCCUGGGUCUGCAGUGGGUACGGGCGAGCUAGAGUGCGGUAGGGGAGACUGGAAUUCCUGGUGUAGCGGUGAAAUGCGCAGAUAUCAGGAGGAACACCGGUGGCGAAGGCGGGUCUCUGGGCCGUAACUGACGCUGAGGAGCGAAAGCAUGGGUAGCGAACAGGAUUAGAUACCCUGGUAGUCCAUGCCGUAAACGUUGGGCGCUAGGUGUGGGCCGCAUUCCACGUGGUCUGUGCCGCAGCUAACGCAUUAAGCGCCCCGCCUGGGGAGUACGGCCGCAAGGCUAAAACUCAAAGGAAUUGACGGGGCCCCGCACAAGCGGCGGAGCAUGCGGAUUAAUUCGAUGCAACGCGAAGAACCUUACCAAGGCUUGACAUGCAGGGAAAUCCUCCAGAGAUGGUGGGUCCGCAAGGGUCCUGCGCAGGUGGUGCAUGGUUGUCGUCAGCUCGUGUCGUGAGAUGUUGGGUUAAGUCCCGCAACGAGCGCAACCCUCGUUCGAUGUUGCCAGCGGGUGAUGCCGGGGACUCAUCGGAGACUGCCGGGGUCAACUCGGAGGAAGGUGGGGAUGACGUCAAAUCAUCAUGCCCCUUAUGUCUUGGGCUUCACGC
rnacentral:rRNA from 1 species